UACGUAGGGCGCAAGCGUUAUCCGGAAUUAUUGGGCGUAAAGAGCUCGUAGGCGGUUUGUCGCGUCUGCCGUGAAAGUCCGGGGCUCAACUCCGGAUCUGCGGUGGGUACGGGCAGACUAGAGUGAUGUAGGGGGAGACUGGAAUUCCUGGUGUAGCGGUGAAAAUGCGCAGAUAUCAGGAGGAACACCGAUGGCGAAGGCAGGUCUCUGGGCAUUAACUGACGCUGAGGAGCGAAAGCGUGGGGAGCGAACAGG
rnacentral:rRNA from 1 species